rnacentral:lncRNA from 1 species
GCCCAUUUGACAAGUUCUCUUAUGACGUGUAGGGGUGUCAUUGUGAUCUAGUUUCAUGAAGAAGAAGAGCGAAUAGAUUUUUAUAAAUUAUUUUGAUUAUAAAUAAGUUUAAAUUAGAUUUAAAAAGAUUUAUGAUUUAUUAUAAUAAGAUAGAUUCAGAUAUAAAAAUUAUUUUAAAAUCUAAACAAUAUGUUACAUUAGAUACAAUCGG